AAAGAAAGCGUAAUAGCUCACUGGUCGAGUCGGCCUGCGCGGAAGAUGUAACGGGGCUAAACCAUGCACCGAAGCUGCGGCAGCGACGCUGAUGCGUUGUUGGGUAGGGGAGCGUUCUGUAAGCCUGCGAAGGUGUGCUGUGAGGCAUGCUGGAGGUAUCAGAAGUGCGAAUGCUGACAUAAGUAACGAUAAAGCGGGUGAAAAGCCCGCUCGCCGGA
rnacentral:rRNA from 1 species